GACGAACGCUGGCGGCGUGCUUAACACAUGCAAGUCGAGCGGUAAGGCCCUUUCGGGGGCACACGAGCGGCGAACGGGUGAGUAACACGUGGGUGACCUGCCCUUAGCUCUGGGAUAAGCCUGGGAAACUGGGUCUAAUACCGGAUAUGACUCCAUGACGCAUGUUGUGGGGUGGAAAGCCUUGUGCGGCUAGGGGAUGGGGCCCGCGGCCUA
rnacentral:rRNA from 1 species